CCAGAGAUUAACUGGACUUUGAUGCUGUUGUGCUUGGCUGUCACUGUUGGUUUUAGAGACACUAAACGAAUGGGUAAUGCCUCAGGUUUGGCAGUUAUAACUGUUAUGCUGGUUACCACCUGCCUAAUGUCUCUGGUAAUUGUCUUAUGUUGGCACAAGAGUGUUUUUCUUGCAAUAUGCUUUGUAUUCUUUUUCGGCACAAUUGAAGCCCUCUACUUCACUGCUUC
rnacentral:misc_RNA from 1 species